rnacentral:rRNA from 1 species
AUUAGAGUUUGAUCCUGGCUCAGAUUGAACGCUGGCGGCAUGCCUUACACAUGCAAGUCGAACGGUAACGCGGGGCAACCUGGCGACGAGUGGCGAACGGGUGAGUAAUGCAUCGGAACGUGCCCAUCAGUGGGGGAUAGCCCGGCGAAAGCCGGAUUAAUACCGCAUACGACCUGAGGGUGAAAGCGGGGGACCGCAAGGCCUCGCGCUGAUGGAGCGGCCGAUGUCGGAUUAGCUAGUUGGUGGGGUAAAGGCUUACCAAGGCAACGAUCCGUAGCUGGUCUGAGAGGACGACCAGCCACACUGGGACUGAGACACGGCCCAGACUCCUACGGGAGGCAGCAGUGGGGAAUUUUGGACAAUGGGCGCAAGCCUGAUCCAGCCAUGCCGCGUGCGGGAAGAAGGCCUUCGGGUUGUAAACCGCUUUUGUCAGGGAAGAAACGGUCUGAACGAAUACUUCGGACUAAUGACGGUACCUGAAGAAUAAGCACCGGCUAACUACGUGCCAGCAGCCGCGGUAAUACGUAGGGUGCAAGCGUUAAUCGGAAUUACUGGGCGUAAAGCGUGCGCAGGCGGUUGUGCAAGACAGAUGUGAAAUCCCCGGGCUCAACCUGGGAACUGCAUUUGUGACUGCAUAGCUAGAGUACGGC